rnacentral:rRNA from 1 species
UUCCGGUUGAUCCUGCCGGACCCCACUGCUAUCGAGGUGGGACUUAGCCAUGCUAGUUGAGCGCACAGAACUAUGUCUGUGAGCGGCACACUGCUCAGUAACACGUAGCUAACCUACCCUUAGGACGUGGACAACCCCGAGAAAUUGGGGCUAAUCCGCGAUAGAUGUAUUGUCCUGGAAUGGUAUUACGUCUAAAGGUAUCCCAUACAUGUUUGGUAUAUGCCUAAGGAUGGGGCUGCGGCCGAUCAGGCUGUUGGUGAGGUAAUGGCUCACCAAACCUUUGACCGGUAUGGGCCAUGAGAGUGGUAGCCCAGAGAUGGACACUGAGACAAGGGUCCAGGCCCUACGGGGCGCAGCAGGCGCGAAACCUCCUCAAUGCACUAACGUGCGAAGGGGUUACCUCGAGUGCCACCUGAAGAAGGUGGCUUUUCCUUGGUCUAAAAAGCCUAGGGAAUAAGAGGGGGGCAAGACAGGUGUCAGCCGCCGCGGUAACACCAGCCCCUCGAGUGGUGGGGAUGAUUAUUUGGCCUAAAGCGUCCGUAGCCGGCCGGGUAAGUUUCCCGUUAAAUCCAGCGUCUCAAGCGUUGGACUGCGGGAAAUACUGCCUGGCUAGAGAGUGGGAGAGGUCAGCGGUACUCUGGGGGUAGGGGCGAAAUCCUUUGAUCCCCGGAGGACCACCAGUGGCGAAGGCUGCUGACUAG